AACAACCUUCCAAUGGUAAUCUAGGCAUGUCUGAUCAUGAUUGGAGGGCGUUAGAUCAAUGAAAUGACAUGCGUACAUCAGUGUUUGGGGUUGCUAAAUCAAUUAUGAUCAGACAUGCCUAGAUUACCAUCAGAGGGU